UGUCCAAUCAGCGCUCAAGACGUUGCAUCACAUACGCCGGCGCCUUUUGCCUUUUCAAGUGACGGUUUUUCUCUGGAACUGACGGAAGCAAACAACGGACCAACGUCGGCAAGCUGUUAAAAUUAUAAUUUUUCCCCGUCACGAAGUCUGUCUGAAAGCACAGGAACUGUUCAGCUAACAGCAUUAGUGAUUCACAUCGGCCUUCUGCAUCAGAGAUACCGUCUGUUUCAACUGAGCAAUGUCCUGCUGACCUGGAUCCAAAUACAGGUGAGUCAGAAGCUCUUCCUGCUACACAUCAAAACUAUUCAUGCUGAGCAUCGACCAAAAGAUUACAACUCCGCACAUUUCUAC